UCAAGCUUUAAAGGGCACACAGUGAAUGCCUUGGUGCUAACAGGCGAUGAAGGACGUGAUAAGCUGCGAUAAGCUUCGGGGAGCGGCAAACACGCUUUGAUCCGGAGAUUUCCGAAUGGGGUAACCUGAUGGUUUUAAUAGGCCAUCGUUCUUUUCUGAAGCCAGACCCGGGGCAACCUGGUAAUGGAAGUUAGGAAAAGACACGCGAUACCCGGUGAAGUGAAACAUCUCAGUAACCGGAGGAAAAGAAAGAGAAUCGAUUCCGUCAGUAGUGGCGAGCGAAAGCGGAAGAGCCCAAACCGGGGACUUGUCCCCGGGGUUGUAGGACCCCGUCGUGGGACCUCAAUGGAUAGGUGAGGGAACUGGAAAGUUCCGGCAUAGAGGGUGAUACCCCCGUAACCGAAAUCCAACGAGGCCCUAGGGUGUUCCUGAGUAAUACGGCACACGUGAAACGCCGUAUGAAUCCAUGCGGACCACCGCAUAAGGCUAAAUACUAGUUAGCGACCGAUAGUGAACCAGUACCGUGAGGGAAAGGUGAAAAGAACCGCUGUGAGCGGAGUGAAAUAGAACCUGAAACCGUGUGCCUACAAGGUGUCAGAGCACUUUCGAGUGUGAUGGCGUGCCUUUUGCUUAAUGAGUCUGCGAGUUAGUAUCUGUGGCAAGCUUAAGUUCUUAGGGAACGGAGGCGAAGCGAAAGCGAGUCCGAAUAGGGCGUUUAGUUGCAGGUGCUAGACCCGAAGCGGAGGUGAUCUACCCUUGGCCAGGUUGAAGCGCAGGUGAUACUGCGUGAAGGACCGAACAGGUGAAUGUUGAAAAAUUCUCUGAUGAGCUGAGGGUAGGAGUGAAAGGCUAAUCAAACCCCGUGAUAGCUGGUUCUCCUCGAAAUGCAUUGAGGUGCAGCGUCGCGUGUUUAUGAAUGGGGGUAGAGCACUGAAAGGGCUAGGGGGCAUACCCGCCUACCAACCCCUAUCAAACUCCGAAUACCAUUCAACAGAGCGCGGCAGUGAGACGGUGGGGGAUAAGCUUCAUCGUCAAAAGGGAAACAACCCUGAUCAGCAGCUAAGGUGCCCAAAUACCGCUAAGUGGAAAGGAUGUGGAAUUUCACAGACAGUGAGGAUGUUGGCUUAGAAGCAGCCACCAUUUAAAAAGUGCGUAAUAGCUUACUCAUCGAGAGAUUCUGCGCCGAAAAUGAUUGGCGAUAAGCGGUAUACCGAAGCUCUGGGCUUUUGUCCCUGGGGACAGGAGCGGUAGAGGAGCAUUCUUGACAGCGUCGAAGCGCGAUGGCGACUGACCGUGGAGCGUCAAGAAGAGAGGAUGCAGACAUGAGUAACGAUAAGACGGGUGAAAUCCCCGUCCGCCGUAAACCCAAGGUUUCCCGGGCUACGAUUUUCGUCCCGGGGUUAGUCAGGACCUAAGGCGAGGCCGAUAGGCGUAGCCGAUGGACAGCAGGUUAAUAUUCCUGCACUUCCGACCCUUAACCCGGAUUGACGCAUGGCUGGAGGUAACUAGGUGAUUGAAUUCCGAGGUGCGGCUACGGCCAAUCCGUAUUACCAAAGGCGGUGCCGAGAAAAGAUCCGGUGUAUGCUAAGGAACCUGUACCGCAAACCGACACAGGUGGGUGGGUAGAAUAUACCAAGGCGUAAGAGUGAACCCUGGUUAAGGAACUCGGCAAAUUGGCCCCGUAACUUCGGGAGAAGGGGUGCCUAGGUUUACCUAGGCCGCAGUGAAAUGGCCCAACCGACUGUUUAGCAAAAACACAGCAUUCUGCCAAGCCGCAAGGCCAAGUAUAGGAUGUGACACGUGACCAAUGCGGAAAGAUUAAGGUAAGAUGUUAGCAGCAAUGCGAAGCUUUGAGCCCAAGUCCCCGUGAAUGUCGGCCGUAACUAUAACGGUCCUAAGGUAGCGAAAUUCCUUGUCGGGUAAGUUCCGACCUGCACGAAUCGUGAAACGAGUUGGGCGCUGUCUCAACCAGGUGCUCAGUGAAAUUGUAAUGGCGGUGAAGAUGCCGCCUACCCGCAGAAGGACGGAAAGACCCUAUAGACCUUAACUGUAAGCUGUCAUUGGUUUUUCGAUUUUCAUGCUCAGCAUAAGUGGGAGACUUUGAUGUGGUCCUUUAGGGGGCCGCGGAGUCGCCAGUGAGAUACCACCCUUGGGUGUUGGAAGAUCUAACCUCGGUCCCGUGAAUCCGGGCGAGGGACAUUGUCAGCCGGUCAGUUUUACUGGGGCGGUAUCCUCCCAAAGAGUAACGGAGGAGCGCGAAGGUGGGCUCAGCACGGUCGGUAACCGUGUGUCGAGUGCAUAGGCAUAAGCCCGCCUAACUGUGAGACCUACAAGUCGAGCAGAUACGAAAGUAGGCCUAAGUGAUCCGGCGGUUGAAUGUGGAAUUGCCGUCGCUCAACGGAUAAAAGGUACCUUAGGGAUAACAGGCUGAUUUCAUCCAAGAGUUCAUAUCGACGAUGAAGUUUGGCACCUCGAUGUCGGCUCGUCGCAUCCUGGGGCUGGAGAAGGUCCCAAGGGUCCGGCUGUUCGCCGGUUAAAGCGGCACGCGAGCUGGGUUCAGAACGUCGCGAGACAGUUCGGUCCUCUAUCCUCUGUGGGCGCAGGAAAAUUGAGGGGUUCGGUUCCUAGUACGAGAGGACCGGAAUCGACAUACCUCUGGUGCACCGGUUGUCCUGUCAAGGGCAUGGCCGGGUAGCUAAGUAUGGAAUAGAUAAGCGCUGAAAGCAUCUAAGCGCCAAGCUACUCCCAAGAUGAAUUUUCCCUUAAGGAUCGUCGAAGACUACGACGUUGAUAGGCUUCAGGUGUAAGUGCGGUAACGUAUUCAGCCGAGAAGUACUAAUCAUCCGUUUGGCUUGAUUCCU
rnacentral:rRNA from 1 species